rnacentral:rRNA from 1 species
AUUAGCUAGUUGGUGAGGUAACGGCUCACCAAGGCGACGAUCCCUAGCUGUUCUGAGAGGAUGAUCAGCCACACUGGGACUGAGACACGGCCCAGACCCCUACGGGAGGCAGCAGUGGGGAAUAUUGCACAAUGGGCGCAAGCCUGAUGCAGCCAUGCCGCGUGUGUGAAGAAGGCCUUCGGGUUGUAAAGCACUUUCAGUCAGGAGGAAAGGUUAGUAGUUAAUACCUGCUAGCUGUGACGUUACUGACAGAAGAAGCACCGGCUAACUCCGUGCCAGCAGCCGCGGUAAUACGGAGGGUGCGAGCGUUAAUCGGAAUUACUGGGCGUAAAGCGUACGCAGGCGGUUUGUUAAGCGAGAUGUGAAAGCCCCGGGCUCAACCUGGGAACAGCAUUUCGAACUGGCAAGCUAGAGUGUGAUAGAGGGUGGUAGAAUUUCAGGUGUAGCGGUGAAAUGCGUAGAGAUCUGAAGGNAANUNNACCGAAUGGCGAAGGCAGCCACCUGGGUCAACACUGACGCUCAUGUACGAAAGCGUGGGGAGCAAACAGGAUUAGAUACCCUGGUAGUCCACGCCGUAAACGAUGUCUACUAGGAGCUCGGUCUUUCGGGACUGUUUUCCAAAGCUAACGCAUUAAGUAGACCGCCUGGGGAGUACGGCCGCANNAGGUUAAAACUCAAAUGAAUUGACGGGGGCCCGCACAAGCGGUGGAGCAUGUGGUUUAAUUCGAUGCAACGCGAAGAACCUUACCUACACUUGACAUACAGAGAACUUACCAGAGAUGGUUUGGUGCCUUCGGGAACUCUGAUACAGGUGCUGCAUGGCUGUCGUCAGCUCGUGUUGUGAGAUGUUGGGUUAAGUCCCGCAACGAGCGCAACCCCAAUCCUUAGUUGCCAGCGAUUCGGUCGGGAACUCUAAGGAGACUGCCGGUGAUAAACCGGAGGAAGGUGGGGACGACGUCAAGUCAUCAUGGCCCUUACGUGUAGGGCUACACACGUGCUACAAUGGCAGGUACAGAGGGCAGCGAGCUAGCGAUAGUGAGCGAAUCCCUUAAAGCCUGUCGUAGUCCGGAUUGGAGUCUGC